UGUCGAUGGGAAGCAGGUUAAUAUUCCUGCACUUUGAUUCAUUGCGAUGGGGGGACGGAGAAGGUUAAACCAGCCGGGUGUUGGAUGUCCCGGUUUAAGCAUGUAGGGAGCUCCCUUAGGAAAAUCCGGGGGGGCAAUCCUGAGGUGUGAUGACGAGGUCCCAUGUGGACUGAAGUGGUUGAUACCCUGCUUCCAGGAAAAGCCUCUAAGCUUCAGAUGAAUUGAAACCGUACCCGAAACCAACACAGGUGGGCAGGGAGAGUAUCCCAAGGCGCUUGAGAGAACUCUGGUGAAGGAACUAGGCAAAAUAGCACCGUAACUUCGGGAGAAGGUGUGCCCUUUGUAUGUGAAGAGCCUGCGCUCGGAGCAGAAGAGGGUCGCAGUGACCAGGUGGCCGCGACUGUUUACUAAAAAUACAGCACUCUGCAAACACGAAAGUGGACGUAUAGGGUGUGACGCCUGCCCGGUGCCGGAAGGUUAAUUGAUGGGGUUAGCCGCAAGGCGAAGCUCUUGAUCGAAGCCCCGGUAAACGGCGGCCGUAACUAUAACGGUCCUAAGGUAGCGAAAUUCCUUGUCGGGUAAGUUCCGACCUGCACGAAUGGCGUAACGACGGCCACGCUGUCUCCACCAGAGACACAGCGAAAUUGAAUUUGCUGUUAAGAUGCAGUGUACCCGCGGCAAGACGGAAAGACCCCGUGAACCUUUACUAUAGCUUUGCACUGGACUUUGAGUUUGUUUGUGUAGGAUAGGUGGGAGGCUUUGAAGCGUGAUCGCUAGAUUGCGUGGAGCCAACCUUGAAAUACCACCCUGGCACAUUUGAGGUUCUAACCUAGGCCCGUUACCCGGGUCGCGGACAGUGUAUGGUGGGUAGUUUGACUGGGGCGGUCUCCUCCCAAAGAGUAACGGAGGAGCACAAAGGUACCCUCAGUGCGGUCGGAAAUCGCGCAAUGAGUGCAAAGGCAUAAGGGUGCUUGACUGCGAGACAGACACGUCGAGCAGGGGCGAAAGCCGGUCUUAGUGAUCCGGUGGUUCCGUAUGGAAGGGCCAUCGCUCAACGGAUAAAAGGUACUCCGGGGAUAACAGGCUGAUUCCUCCCAAGAGUUCACAUCGACGGGGGAGUUUGGCACCUCGAUGUCGGCUCAUCACAUCCUGGGGCUGUAGCCGGUCCCAAGGGUAUGGCUGUUCGCCAUUUAAAGUGGUACGCGAGCUGGGUUUAGAACGUCGUGAGACAGUUCGGUCCCUAUCUGCCGUGGGCGUUGGAGAUUUGAAGGGAGCUGCUCCUAGUACGAGAGGACCGGAGUGGACGUACCUCUGGUGUUCCGGUUGUCACGCCAGUGGCACCGCCGGGUAGCUAAGUACGGACGGGAUAACCGCUGAAAGCAUCUAAGCGGGAAGCCUCCCCUAAGAUUAGAUCUCCCUAGACCCUCGAGGUCUCUAAAGGGCCGUUGAAGACUACAACGUUGAUAGGCUGGGUGUGGAAGCGCAGUAAUGUGUGAAGCUAACCAGUACUAAUUGCCCGUGCGGCUUGACCU
rnacentral:rRNA from 1 species